rnacentral:lncRNA from 1 species
AAAUCGGGUACGAAAUCGAAAUGUUGUCCCAUCGGAUCUCGAGGCCUCAUCAUGGGUCCGCAGAAUCGAAUCGCCUUGAAGAACGAGCGGACGGCACCCCCGCUCCCCUCAUUUAAUAAGGCCCUGGGGCACGUGGAGCCCCGAUGUAGCCUCCAACUCGCCAGAUCCAUGAUCCGGUAACACGAGAUCGGAAACGUCCGACCUCAGAUCAUGCCGCGUGUCCAUUUUGAAACACAACGGCACACUCAUUGAUGAACGGGGAGCUUCGACCACAGGAUCAAGGCGCCGCCUCGCCGAGCUCGAGGACCCUCAUCAUGGGUCCGCCGCACGAAGCGACCUCGGUGAUCCAAGAAGCGCCACCCCCGUUACAGCCGCCUCGAAAAACGUAAGAAUACAAGCCUCAUCAUAAGUUCACUGAAUAAAGCAACCUCGAGGCACCAAAGGGCGCAAGUUUCACCAUAAAAACUCCGACAAACACAAGGGCGCGGACGAGAUUCGUCCAACCUUAAUGAUAGACUUUACUUCCCACGUCCGAGCCCGCAAGCCGCUCGAACUCGGAAGUCGGGGGGUAGUGUUGGGGGAAUAAGACUUUUCCCUCCAAUGACACGAAUGCCCCCGAGAAGCUGCACAAUCGCCGACCCUGGACAGCCGAAGUCGGCGUCCGACCUCGGAACGCCCGACCUCCAGACAUCCGGCCUCGAGACCUCCGACCUAGGAAAACCCUGAUGUUCAAAGUCUACCUUUAUCAGCCACCUACUACGGCCAUGCCCCUCUGAGGUCCGGCCGAGGACCAUACUCUGACGCCCCCCCCGGCAUUUAUUGCGCAUGGCUACUGUAAACCUCCAGUUCACUCAACAAUUAAUGCGGAUCUUCGGCUUACUCC